rfam:Omnitrophica WOR_2 bacterium RIFCSPLOWO2_12_FTLL_63_16 rifcsplowo2_12_scaffold_1814, whole genome shotgun sequence.
GGGCAUGUGGCGGAACGGCAGACGCGACAGCCUUAGGAGCUGUUGGGGAAACCCGUGGGGGUUCGAAUCCCUCCGUGCCCA